AUACGGAGGAUCCGCGCGUUAUCCGGAUUUAUUGGGUUUAAAGGGUGCGCAGGCGGGAGAUUAAGUCGGCGGUGAAAUUUUUCAGCUCAACUGUAAAAGGGCCUUCGAAACUGGUUUUCUUUAGGGUAGAAGAAGUAGGCGGGAUUUGUGGUGUGGCGGGGAAAUGCAUAGAUAUCACGAGGAACUCCGAUUGCGCAGGCAGCUUACUAAACUACUACUGACGCUCAGGCACGAAGGCGUGGGGAUCAAACAGGAUUAGAUACCCUGGUAGUCCACGCAGUAAACGAUGAUUACCAGCUGUUUGCGAUACAAUGUAAGCGGCUGAGCGAAAGCGUUAAGUAAUCCACCUGGGGAGUACGUUCGCAAGAAUGAAACUCAAAUGAAUUGGCGGGG
rnacentral:rRNA from 1 species